UACGGGGGGGGGCAAGCGUUGUUCGGAAUUACUGGGCGUAAAGGGCGCGUAGGCGGUUUGCUAAGUUGAAUGUGAAAACUCUGGGCUUAACCCAGAGCCUGCAUUCAAUACUGGCAGGCUGGAGUUCUGGAGGGGAUAGCGGAAUUCCUGGUGUAGCGGUGAAAUGCGUAGAUAUCUGGAGGAACACCGGUGGCGAAGGCGACAUCCUGGACCAAUACUGACGCUGAGGAGCGAAAGCCAGGGGAGCAAACGGG
rnacentral:rRNA from 1 species